ACGCAGAACAUCAUCUGGCGAAGGCUGCUGCUGAGGGCGUGAAGUCCUUCAGGGAAGGUGAGGUUUACCAUGCGGAUCUAUUAGCGUCAUGCCGGAAGGCCUUCCUUAUAGAAUUCACCUAAUGUUAGAGAAAGAUGGGAGAGCUUUAUCCUGAGAUUGAUCUCAGCUUAAUGCUAACAUUGGCCUCACCUUCCACGAGUAGCAGCUUAGUUGAUGUAGGG
rnacentral:lncRNA from 1 species